AGAGUUUGAUUAUGGCUCAGGAUGAACGCUAGCGACAGGCCUAACACAUGCAAGUCGAGGGGCAGCGCGGGGAAAGCUUGCUUUCCUGGCGGCGACCGGCGCACGGGUGCGUAACAGGUGUGCAAUCUGUCCAUAGUCGGGGGAUAGCCCGGCGAAAGCUGAAUUAAUACUCCAUGUGAAUCGAAGCCGCAUGACUUUGAUUUGAAACGCAAGGACUAUGGGUGAGCACGCUUCUGAUUAGGUAGUUGGUGGGGUAACGGCCCACCAAGCCGACGAUCAGUAGGGGUUCUGAGAGGAAGGUCCCCCCACAUUGGAACUGAGACACGGUCCAAACUCCUACGGGAGGCAGCAGUGAGGAAUAUUGGUCAAUGGGCGAGAGCCUGAACCAGCCAAGUCGCGUGAAGGAUGAAGGUUCUAUGGAUUGUAAACUUCUUUUGUCCGAGGGUAAAGGAGUCCACGUGUGGAUUUUUGCAAGUAUCGGACGAAUAAGCAUCGGCUAACUCCGUGCCAGCCGCCGC
rnacentral:rRNA from 1 species